rnacentral:rRNA from 1 species
GACGAACGCUGGCGGCGUGCUUAACACAUGCAAGUCGAACGGGAUUUAGUAAACAGAAACCUCGGUGGAAGAUUACUAAUGAGAGUGGCGAACGGGUGAGUAACGCGUGAGCAACCUGCCUAUGACAGUGGGAUAGCCUCGGGAAACCGGGAUUAAUACCGCAUAAAAUCGUAGAAACACAUGUUUUAACGGUCAAAGAUUUAUCGGUCAUAGAUGGGCUCGCGUCUGAUUAGCUAGUUGGUGAGAUAACAGCCCACCAAGGCGACGAUCAGUAGCCGGUCGGAGGGGAGGAACGGCCACAUUGGAACUGAGACACGGUCCAAACUCCUACGGGAGGCAGCAGUGGGGAAUAUUGCACAAUGGGGGAAACCCUGAUGCAGCGACGCCGCGUGAACGAAGAAGGUAUUCGUAUCGUAAAGUUCUGUCCUAUGGGAAGAUAAUGACAGUACCAUAGAAGAAAGCGCCGGCUAAAUACGUG